rnacentral:tmRNA from 1 species
GGGGCUGACUUGGAUUUCGACAGAUUUCUUGUCGCACAGAUAGCAUGCCAAGUGCUGCUUGUAAAACAGCGACAAAAAUAACUGUAAACAACACAGAUUACGCUCCAGCUUACGCUAAAGCUGCGUGAGUUAAUCUCCUUUUGGAGCUGGACUGAUUAGAAUUUCUAGCGUUUUAAUCACUCCAUAACCUUAAGCUAGACGCUUUUAAAAGGUGGUUCGCCUUUUAAACUAAGAAACAAGAACUCUUGAAACUAUCUCAAGGUUUUAGAAAGUUGGACCAGAGCUAGUUUUAAGGCUAAAAAGCUAACCAAUUUUCUAAGCAUUGUAGAAGUUUGUGUUUAGGACAAGAUUUUUGGACUGGGGUUCGAUUCCCCACAGCUCCACCA